rnacentral:rRNA from 1 species
ACUUUCAACAACGGAUCUCUUGGUUCUCGCAUCGAUGAAGAACGCAGCGAAAUGCGAUACGUAAUACGAAUCGCAGCUCUCGGAAUCAUCGAAUCUUUGAACGCACAUUGCACCAUUGGGUAUUCCCAAUGGUAUGCUUGUUUGAGCGAAUACUUCCCUAAUCCUCACGGAUUGUAUUGUGUUUGCACGAAAAUAAUGACGACAGUACUCUACAAAACGGUACCGUCAGUACGCUCAUUUUUUUUCCCUCAAAUCAAGUAGGACUACCCGCUGAACUUAAGCAUAUCAAUAAGCGGAGGAAAAGAAACCAACAGGGAUUGCCUCAGUAACGGCGAGUGAAGCGGCAAAAGCUCAAAUUUGAAAUCCCCCCGGGGAGUUGUAAUUUGAAGAUUGCGUCUUGGAGGCGACCGUGUCUAUGUUCCUUGGAACAGGACGUCACAGAGGGUGAGAAUCCCGUGCGGCACGGCCCCCGGCUCCUUAUAAGGCGCUCUCGACGAGUCGAGUUGUUUGGGAAUGCAGCUCAAAGUGGGUGGUAAAUUCCAUCUAAAGCUAAAUACAGGCGAGAGACCGAUAGCGAACAAGUACAGUGAUGGAAAGAUGAAAAGCACUUUGAAAAGAGAGUGAAACAGCACGUGAAAUUGUUGAAAGGGAAGGGCAUGCCGUCAGAUUGUCAGUGUGGGUAAGAAGCGGGGUACAAAGACUGUGGAACGUGGCCCUCGGGUGUUAUAGCCGCAGUUCAUGCCCCGUCUCUUUCCGAGGCCUGCUUUGAGGACACCGACGUAAUGACGGUACGCCGCCCGUCUUGAAACACGGACCAAGGAGUCUAACGUCUAUGCGAGUGUGUUGGGUGUCAAACCCAAACGCGUAAUGAAAGUGAACGUAGAUGAGUUUCAUCAUCGACCGAUCCUGAAGUGUUCGGAUGGAUUUGAGUAAGAGCAUAGCUGUUGGGACCCGAAAGAUGGUGAACUAUGCCUGAAUAGGGUGAAGCCAGAGGAAACUCUGGUGGAGGCUCGUAGCGGUUCUGACGUGCAAAUCGAUCGUCGAAUUUGGGUAUAGGGGGCGAAAGACUAAUCGAACCAUCUAGUAGCUGGUUCCUGCCGAAGUUUCCCUCAGGAUAGCAGAAGCUCGUAUCAGUUUUAUGAGGUAAAGCGAAUGAUUAGAGGUAUUGGGGUCGAAAUGACCUCAACCUAUUCUCAAACUUUAAAUAUGUAAGAAGUCCUUGUUGCUUAAUUGAACGUGGACAGUUUGAAUGAAGAGCUUUUAGUGGGCCAUUUUUGGUAAGCAGAACUGGCGAUGCGGGAUGAACCGAACGCAAAGUUAAAGUGCCGGAAUACACGCUCAUCAGACACCACAAAAGGUGUUAGUUCAUCUAGACAGCCGGACGGUGGCCAUGGAAGUCGGAAUCCGCUAAGGAGUGUGUAACAACUCACCGGCCGAAUGAACUAGCCCUGAAAAUGGAUGGCGCUCAAGCGUGUUACUUAUACUUUGCCGCCAGGGUGUAUUUCGAUGCCCUGGCGAGUAGGCAGGCGUGGGGGUUGUGACGAAAGCCUUGGCAGUGAAUGCUGGGUCGAACGCCCUAGUGCAGAUCUUGGUGGUAGUAGCAAAUAUUCAAAUGGGAACUUUGAAGACUGAAGUGGGGAAAGGUUCCAUGUGAACAGCAGUUGGACAUGGGUUAGUCGAUCCUAAGAGUGGGGAAGUUCUUGCAACGGCCAAUUUCGGGCCCCAUCAAAGGGACCGGUUAACAUCCGGAUGUAUGUGUGUCUGACGGCAACGUAACAGAAUGUGGAGACGUCGGCGUGAAUCCCAAAAGGAGUUUUCUUUUCUUUUUAACCGUAAACC